rnacentral:rRNA from 1 species
UACGGAGGGGGCUAGCGUUGUUCGGAAUUACUGGGCGUAAAGCGCACGUAGGCGGCUUUGUAAGUUAGAGAUGAAAGCCCGGGGCUCAACUCCGGAAUUGCCUUUAAGACUGCAUCGCUAGAAUUGUGGAGAGGUAAGUGGAAUUCCGAGUGUAGAGGUGAAAUUCGUAGAUAUUCGCAAGAACACCAGUGGCGAAGGCGGCUCACUGGCCCGGUACUGACGCUGAGGUGCGAAAGCGUGGGGAGCAAACAGG